rnacentral:rRNA from 1 species
GACAGAGGGUGCAACCGUUGUUCGGAAUUACUGGGCGUAAAGCGUGUGUAGGCGGUCUCAUAAGUCGGGUGUGAAAGCCCUGGGCUCAACCCAGGAAGUGCACUCGAUACUGCGAGGCUAGAGUAUCGGAGAGGUUGGUGGAAUUCUCGGUGUAGAGGUGAAAUUCGUAGAUAUCGAGAGGAACACCGGUGGCGAAGGCGGCCAACUGGACGAAUACUGACGCUGAGACUCGAAAGCGUGGGGAGCAAACAGG